rnacentral:rRNA from 1 species
CGUAGGGCGAAGCGUUGUCCGGAAUCACUGGGCGUAAAGCGCGCGCAGGCGGCUGUCUACGUCCGGGUGAAAGCCCAGAGCUCAACUCUGGGAUUGCCUUGGAUACGGGACGGCUUGAGGAUCGGAGAGGCAAGGGGAAUUCCACGUGUAGCGGUGAAAUGCGUAGAGAUGUGGAGGAACACCUGUGGCGAAGGCGCCUUGCUGGCCGAUUUCUGACGCUGAGGCGCGAAAGCGUGGGAGCAAACAGGAUU